CAUUUUUGAGCCGUUUCCGUGCAUUUUUGGGUCAUUAAUAGCCAUUUUUGGGUCCAUUUCAUCCAUUUUCAGUCCAUUUUUAGCUAUUUUGGGUCUGGUUUUAGCCAUUUUGGGUCCGUUUCCAGCCAUUUUCGGGUCAUUUUUAGCCAUUUUUGGGUCGUUCUUGACGAUUUUUGUGUCAUUUUCAACGAUUUUUGGGUCAUUUUCCCCAAUUUUGGGGUCAUUUUUAGCCAUUUUCAGGUUGUUCUUGACGAUUUUCGGGUUAUUUUCAACAAUUCUGGGCUCAUUUUAAACGAUUUUUGGGUCAUUUUCCCCCAUUUUUGGUCGUUUUCAACGAUUUUUGGCUCAUUUUCAAUGAAUUUUGGGUCAUUUGCCACAAUUUUGGGCUCAUUUUCAACGAUUUUUGGGAUCUACGUUUUGACGAUUUUCGGGUUGUUCUUGACAAUUUUUGUGUCAUUUUUACCAAUUUUCGGGUCGUUCUUGACGAUU
rnacentral:lncRNA from 14 species